UGCCUCCAACAGCUCCUGUUUCCUCCCAGGCCAGCCUGGCCUCCGCAGCCCUCCAGCCCGCUCACUGCAGGGGAUGGAAGAGGCUGGUCCUGCCAGGAGGUCUGAGUCCUGCCAGGCCUGGCCGUGGCGCAUGGCCUCUGGGGUACAGCCUGCCCCGCAGGGCCUCUCCUCUGCACCUGAUCCGGGGAGUCUGUGACUUACAACAACUCAGCAAGAAGCUGUUGCAUUUCUCUGACCCCGAGCUCACGGCCUGGUGGCUGCCUCUGCUGCUGUGGGAGUGUGUGUGCCACCACGGUGUGCAGGGCAGCAGUGCCACAAGGGCCUCUGGGCAGGAACGGGGACUCCGGAGCCCAGGCCCAGCUGCUGGGUCCCAGUGCUUUGGGGGCCUGUCUCCACAGCUGGAACCACCCCCGCAGCAGAGGGGGCCUUUGGCCUUGGGGUCCCCUUGCUGCCCUGCUGCGCUCACCCAGUAGCUUCUCUGCCUGUGCACACCUGGCCCUGGAACACGAGUCACCCUCCGCUCUCUGGCACUUUGGCCUCUCCAUGCGGGGGCUCCCGGGAGCCAGGGGAGAUGCUACCUCGGAAGCUGAAGCGGAUCCUCCGGCAGGAGCACUGGCCGUCUUUUGAAAACUUGCUGAAGUGCGGCAUGGAGGUGUACAAAGGCUACAUGGAUGACCCGAGGAACACGGACAAUGCCUGGAUCGAGACGGUGGCCGUCAGCGUCCACUUCCAGGACCAGAAUGACGUGGAGCUGAACAGGCUGAACUCUAACCUGCACGCCUGCGACUCGGGGGCCUCCAUCCGAUGGCAGGUGGUGGACAGGCGCAUCCCACUCUAUGCGAACCACAAGACCCUCCUCCAGAAGGCAGCCGCUGAGUUCGGGGCUCACUACUGACUGUGCCCUCAGGCUGGGCGGCUCCAGUCCAUAGACGUUCCCCCCAGAAACCAGGGCUUCUCUCUCCUGAGCCUGGCCAGGACUCAGGCUGUUCCUGGGCCCUGCACAUGAUGGGGUUUGGUGGACCCAGUGCCCCUCACGGCUGCCGCAAGUCUGCUGCAGAUGACCUCAUGAACUGGAAGGGGUCAAGGUGACCCGGGAGGAGAGCUCAAGACAGGGCACAGGCUACUCAGAGCUGAGGGGCCCCUGGGACCCUUGGCCAUCAGGCGAGGGGCUGGGCCUGUGCAGCUGGGCCCUUGGCCAGAGUCCACUCCCUUCCUGGCUGUGUCACCCCGAGCAGCUCAUCCACCAUGGAGGUCAUUGGCCUGAGGCAAGUUCCCCGGAGAGUCGGGGUCCCCUGUGGCCCCCUCAGGCCUAUGUCUGUGAGGAAGGGGCCCUGCCACUCUCCCCAAGAGGGCCUCCAUGUUUCGAGGUGCCUCAACAUGGAGCCUUGCCUGGCCUGGGCUAGGGGCACUGUCUGAACUCCUGACUGUCAGGAUAAACUCCGUGGGGGUACAGGAGCCCAGACAAAGCCCAGGCCUGUCAAGAGACGCAGAGGGCCCCUGCCAGGGUUGGCCCCAGGGACCCUGGGACGAGGCUGCAGAAGCUCUCCCUCCCUACUCCCUGGGAGCCACGUGCUGGCCAUGUGGCCAGGGACGGCAUGAGCAGGAGGCGGGGACGUGGGGGCCUUCUGGUUUGGUGUCAACAGCUCACAGGAGCGUGAACCAUGAGGGCCCUCAGGAGGGGAACGUGGUAAAACCCAAGACAUUAAAUCUGCCAUCUCAGGCCUGGCUGGCUCUUCUGUGCUUUCCACAAAU
rnacentral:lncRNA from 1 species